AAGCCGUGAUCCAUCCGAAUAAACGGCAGACUGUCAUCCCUGCCAAAAUCUGAGCUCGCGUCCGCAGAGGUCCAUGGCGUCCAAGUCCGUCGAGCUGCGCAUGACGCUGCUGGGCGUGGCCCUGCUAGGGCUGCUGCUGCUGAGCCAGCACGCGGCGCCCGUCGAUGCUGCCGAGAGCGACGGCCCCAGAAAGGAAAAGACUAGCUUCAGCAUGAACGUCGUCGGCGGCCGCACUCUCAGCAGCUUCAGCAUGAACUCCGCAUACAGCGAGAAGAAGCCCAGCAGCAAGGGCGCAAGCGCAACUGAUCCCGCACACGGGUGAUGUUCCACAUCCAUGCCUAUAGGCCACUCACCUCACCACGCAGCGUUACCGGCCGUACUACUAUAUCUACAUACGACCGUGGGACAACGUCGACCGGAGCUCGAUCGGCGCAGUUGCCGCAUGGGCGUGGCUGUCAAAGUUCCUUUGUUUCUUUCUUGAUUUGUGCUUGCGUUGGGUUCGGUGUUCCACUUUCUUUUUAUGUGAUUAUUAAUCUUGUUUUCAGAUGCAUGUACGCAUGUAUGUGCCGGCACCAUUUGGUCUUGUGUUAAGUUUAUUCUUGGAUUCCAAUCUCUAGUGUAGGGUCGUUUGGUUUGUGUGUGCAUGUUGUACUC
rnacentral:lncRNA from 1 species